AGCGAACGCUGGCGGCAGGCUUAACACAUGCAAGUCGAACGCCCCGCAAGGGGAGUGGCAGACGGGUGAGUAACACGUGGGAACGUACCCUUUGGUUCGGAAUAACUUGGGGAAACUCAAGCUAAUACCGGAUAAGCCCUUAUGGGGAAAGGUUUACUGCCGAAGGAUCGGCCCGCGUCUGAUUAGCUAGUUGGUGAGGUAAUGGCUCACCAAGGCGACGAUCAGUAGCUGGUCUGAGAGGAUGAUCAGCCACACUGGGACUGAGACACGGCCCAGACUCCUACGGGAGGCAGCAGUGGGGAAUAUUGGACAAUGGGGGCAACCCUGAUCCAGCCAUGCCGCGUGAGUGAUGACGGCCUUCGGGUUGUAAAGCUCUGUCUUCGGGGACGAUAAUGACGGUACCGGGAGAAUAAGCCCCGGCUAACUUCGUGCCAGCCGCCGCAGUAA
rnacentral:rRNA from 1 species